AUACGUAGGGGGCGAGCGUUGUCCGGAAUGAUUGGGCGUAAAGGGCGCGUAGGCGGCCUGUUAAGUCUGGAGUGAAAGUCUUGUUUUCAAGAUGGGAAUUGCUUUGGAUACUGAUGGGCUUGAGUGCAGGAGAGGUUAUCGGAAUUCCCGGUGUAGCGGUGAAAUGCGUAGAGAUCGGGAGGAACACCAGUGGCGAAGGCGGGUAACUGGACUGCAACUGACGCUGAGGCGCGAAAGUGUGGGGAGCAAACAGGAUUAGAUACCCUGGUAGUCCACACUGUAAACGAUGAAUGCUAGGUGUAAGAGGUAUCGACCCCUUUUGUGCCGGAGUUAACACAAUAAGCAUUCCGCCUGGGGAGUACGGCCGCAAGGUUGAAACUCAAAUGAAUUGACGGGG
rnacentral:rRNA from 1 species